AUUGAACGCUGGCGUCAGGCCUAACACAUGCAAGUCGAGCGGAUGAAGGGAGCUUGCUCCUGGAUUCAGCGGCGGACGGGUGAGUAAUGCCUAGGAAUCUGCCUGGUAGUGGGGGAUAACGUCCGGAAACGGGCGCUAAUACCGCAUACGUCCUGAGGGAGAAAGUGGGGGAUCUUCAGACCUCACGCUAUCAGAUGAGCCUAGGUCGGAUUAGCUAGUUGGUGGGGUAAAGGCCUACCAAGGCGACGAUCCGUAACUGGUCUGAGAGGAUGAUCAGUCACACUGGAACUGAGACACGGUCCAGACUCCUACGGGAGGCAGCAGUGGGGAAUAUUGGACAAUGGGCGAAAGCCUGAUCCAGCCAUGCCGCGUGUGUGAAGAAGGUCUUCGGAUUGUAAAGCACUUUAAGUUGGGAGGAAGGGCAGUAAGUUAAUACCUUGCUGUUUUGACGUUACCAACAGAAUAAGCACCGGCUAACUUCGUG
rnacentral:rRNA from 1 species